GACGAACGCUGGCGGCGUGCUUAACACAUGCAAGUCGAACGGAGAGGCCCUGCUUUUGUGGGGUGCUCGAGUGGCGAACGGGUGAGUAACACGUGAGUAACCUGCCCUUGACUUUGGGAUAACUUCAGGAGACUGGGGCUAAUACCGGAUAGGAGCUCCUGCUGCAUGGUGGGGGUUGGAAAGUUUCGGCGGUUGGGGAUGGACUCGCGGCUUAUCAGCUUGUUGGUGGGGUAGUGGCUUACCAAGGCUUUGACGGGUAGCCGGCCUGAGAGGGUGACCGGCCACAUUGGGACUGAGAUACGGCCCAGACUCCUACGGGAGGCAGCAGUGGGGAAUAUUGCACAAUGGGCGGAAGCCUGAUGCAGCAACGCCGCGUGCGGGAUGACGGCCUUCGGGUUGUAAACCGCUUUCGCCUGUGACGAAGCGUGAGUGACGGUAAUGGGUAAAGAAGCACCGGCUAACUACGUG
rnacentral:rRNA from 1 species